UUAUAUCAUUUCUCCUUAUCUUUAGUCAAAUUCACAGCCAAUUCUUCCAUCUUUUUUAUUACAUUUAAUAACAAGGCUUCAUUUGGAUCUUUAACAGUCGCAUUUGUGAACAACUCCGGUUGUUGAUAGGUUGGUGAUGUAAAAUAAGGUAUCAUUAUUAUUGGCACUAUUGCAUAGACUGAGGUAGCAUUAAUUGGUUUUUGCAACAUAAUAUUCUUCAUAUUGGAGGCAGCCAU
rnacentral:lncRNA from 1 species